rnacentral:rRNA from 1 species
CCUACGGGCGGCAGCAGUGAGGAAUAUUGGUCAAUGGGCGGAAGCCUGAACCAGCCAAGUAGCGUGCAGGAUGACGGCCCUACGUGUUGUAAACUGCUUUUAUCCGGGAAUAACGCGCCUUACGUGUAGUGCUUUGCCUGUACCGUAUGAAUAAGGACCGGCUAAUUCCGUGCCAGCAGCCGCGGUAAUACGGAAGGUCCGGGCGUUAUCCGGAUUUAUUGGGUUUAAGGGGAGCGUAGGCCGCAUGUCAAGCGUGCUGUGCAAUGUCCGGGCGCAACCCGGGCCGUGCCGCGCGAACUGGCGUGCUUGAGUCCGCGGAAAGCAGGCGGAAUUCGUCGUGUAGCGGUGAAAUGCUUAGAUAUGACGAAGAACCCCGAUUGCGAAGGCAGCUUGCUGCAGCGGAACUGACGCUGAUGCUCGAAAGCGCGGGUAUCGAACAGGAUUAGAUACCCUUGUAGUC